AGCGGCUUGAAAGGCGAACGGCCACACUCUGGAAUUGAGACCCGGCCCAAAUUCUUCCGGGAGGCAGCAGUUGGGGAAUAUUGCACAAUUGGCGGAAGCCUUAUGCCAGCGGACGCCGCGUGAGGGAUGACGGCCUUCCUUUGGGUUUAAAUCUUUUUCACCAGGAAGAAGGGGAAGUGACGGUACCUGCAGAAGAAGCGCCGGCCAACUACGUGCCAGCAGCCGCGGUAAGACGUAGGGCGCGAGCGUUGUCCGGAUUUAUUGGGCGUAAAGAGCUCGUAGGCGGSUUGUCGCGUCGACCGUGAAAACCUGGGGCUCAACCCCAGGCCUGCGGUCGAUACGGGCAGGCUAGAGUUCGGUAGGGGAGACUGGAAUUCCCUGGUGUAGCGGUGAAAUGCGCAGAUAUCAGGAGGAACACCGGUGGCGAAGGCGGGUCUCUGGGCCGAUACUGACGCUGAGGAGCGAAAGCGUGGGGAGCGAACAGGAUUAGAUACCCUGGUAGUCCACGCUGUAAACGUUGGGCGCUAGGUGUGGGGUUCCUUCCGGUGUCCGG
rnacentral:rRNA from 1 species